rnacentral:rRNA from 2 species
UCAGAUUAAGCCAUGCAUGUCUAAGUAUAAGCAAUUAUACGGCGAAACUGCGAAUGGCUCAUUAUAUAAGUUAUCGUUUAUUUGAUAGCACAUUACUACUUGGAUAACCGUGGUAAUUCUAGAGCUAAUACAUGCUAAAAAUCCCGACUUCGGAAGGGAUGUAUUUAUUAAAUUAAAAACCAAUGCCCUCUGGGCUCUCUGGUGAAUCAUGAUAACUGCUCGAAUCGCAGGGCCUCGUGCCGGCGAUGGUUCAUUCAAAUUUCUUCCCUAUCAACUUUCGAUGUUUGGGUAUUGGCCAAACAUGGUUACAACGGGUAACGGAGGGUUAGGGCUCGACCCCGGAGAAGGAGCCUGAGAAACGGCUACUACAUCCAAGGAAGGCAGCAGGCGCGCAAAUUACCCAAUCCCGACACGGGGAGGUAGUGACAAUAAAUACUGAUACAGGGCUCUUUCGGGUCUUGUAAUUGGAAUGAGUACAAUUUAAAUCCCUUAACGAGGAACAAUUGGAGGGCAAGUCUGGUG